GUGAGGAAUAUUGGACAAUGGAGGAAACUCUGAUCCAGCCAUGCCGCGUGAGUGAUGAAGGCCUUCGGGUUGUAAAGCUCUUUCGGGUGUGAAAAUGAUGAUGGUAACACCAGAAGAAGCCCCGGCUAACUCCGUGCCAGCAGCCGCGGUAAUACGGAGGGGGCGAGCGUGGUUCGGAAUCACUGGGCGUAAAGCGUGCGUAGGCGGUUAUACAAAUCAGGAGUGAAAUCCCAGGGCUCACACUUGGAAUUGCUUUUGAGACUGUAUGACUAGAGAUCUAGAGAGUUUGGGGGAAUUCCGAGGGUAGAGGUGAAAUUCGCAGAUAUUCGGAGGAACACCAGUGGCGUAGGCGCCCGACUGGCUAGAUACUGACGCUGAGGCACGAAAGCGUGGGGAGCAAACAGGAUUAGAUACCCUGGUAGUCC
rnacentral:rRNA from 1 species